UUACUUGAGCGGAGAUUUCACUCAACCAACACGCAGGGGGAGAGGGCAGAACAGAGCGCCAGAGAGCGACAGAGAGCGAGGGAUAUGAUGAGAGACUGCGGCCAUAAGAAAUGUCAAACAAAAUAGAGAGACUGCAGCGCAGAGCAGAGCAGAGCAGAGCAGAAAGUGUAGUUUGUGUUGUUUUUACUUAACUUCAUUCCACACAAUUUCCCGUUGCAUUACAGCGAACGACUGAGAGACGAGCGAGCGGAGGGGGACAGGCAGCAGGUAAGGGAACAGAUGGAAAACGAACCAAAAUAUACGUACAUACAUACAUGCACGAGUACGUACGAGCCUGUAUGCCCAUUGAAAUAUCCAACUGAAUGAAUUCUCCUCUUACAUGCAAACAACCUUUCCUUUGCUCGGAAAGGGGAAGAAGGAGACGGAGAAGGGAUCAGCUUCGAGCAGGUGAAGAAACACGUGGGAAACGAAACAAAACUAAACAGUACAGCCGAGAGAGAGAGAGAGAGGCAGGUGGAUAUUGCGACUCCACGUGUACCCCUCAUUGAUUUAUAAGUUAUUAUUGUUGAUGAUCGGCACUUUAAAAUCCGACUCUUCUCUUUUGCUAUGUCUCGAUCGUCGGAUCCUCCGUUAAUUCUUAUCUCCAAACGAAUGUCUAGCUGUUGUGGCCCUCAUACCAAUCACACUCCUUUUUACAGUGCAGAGUACGAGGUAUCCAGCCGCUGCCAGAGCUCUCAGCAGACUGAUUCCGCCAAAAAAAAAAACACAACGCAAGACAACAAAAAAUUACUCAUCCAGGUUUAACAAAGCCGCAGAGCAG